CCGGGGCGGGCGGGGAGCCUGGUUUCCUUGAGGGAGGCCGGAUCCGGCCUUCCACCCGCAGGGUCCCGGGGACGUGGCCGGGGCCACGGC
rnacentral:tRNA from 1 species